rnacentral:rRNA from 1 species
CAAUAGCGUAUAUUAAAGUUGUUGCGGUUAAAAAGCUCGUAGUUGGAUUUCUGUUGAGAACGUCCGGUCCGCACUAUGUGCGUGUAUCUGGUUCGGUCUUGGCAUCCUCUUGAGGAACGUAUCUGCGCUUGAUUGCGUGGAGCGGUAUUCAAGACUUUUACUUUGAGGAAAUUAGAGUGUUCACGGCAGGCAAGCGCCUUGAAUACGUUAGCAUGGAAUAAUAAUAUAGGAUCUUGGUUCUAUUUUGUUGGUUUCUAGGGCUAAGGUAAUGAUUAAUAGGGAUAAUUGGGGGCAUUUGUAUUAACGCGUCAGAGGUGGAAUUCUUGGAUUGCGUUACGACAAGCUACUGCGAAAGCAUUUGCCAAGGAUGUUUUCAUUG